GUUUGAUCAUGGCUCAGAUUGAACGCUGGCGGAAUGCUUUACACAUGCCAGUCGAACGGCAGCACGAGAGCUUGCUCUUGGUGGCGAGUGGCGAACGGGUGAGUAAUAUAUCGGAACGUAUCCAAUAAUGGGGGAUAACUAAUCGAAAGGUUGGCUAAUACCGCAUACGCCCUACGGGGGAAAGCAGGGGAUCUUCGGACCUUGCGUUAAUGGAGCGGCUGAUAUCUGAUUAGCUAGUAGGUGAGGUAAAGGCUCACCUAGGCUUCGAUCAGUAGCUGGUCUGAGAGGACGACCAGCCACACUGGAACUGAGACACGGUCCAGACUCCUACGGGAGGCAGCAGUGGGGAAUUUUGGACAAUGGGGGCAACCCUGAUCCAGCCAUUCCGCGUGAGUGAAGAAGGCCUUCGGGUUGUAAAGCUCUUUCGCAAGGGAAGAAACGUUACGAGCGAAUAACUCGUGAUAAUGACGGUACCUUGAUAAGAAGCACCGGCUAACUACGUGCCAGCAGCCGCGGUAAUACGUAGGGUGCGAGCGUUAAUCGGAAUUACUGGGCGUAAAGCGUGCGCAGGCGGUUUUGUAAGUCAGAUGUGAAAUCCCCAAGCUCAACUUGGGAACUGCGUUUGAAACUACAAGGCUAGAGUAUGGUAGAGGGGGGUAGAAUUCCACGUGUAGCAGUGAAAUGCGUAGAGAUGUGGAGGAAUACCAAUGGCGAAGGCAGCCCCCUGGACUAAUACUGACGCUCAUGCACGAAAGCGUGGGGAGCAAACAGGAUUAGAUACCCUGGUAGUCCACGCCCUAAACGAUGUCUACUAGUUGUUGGGAGAGUAAAAUCUCUUAGUAACGCAGCUAACGCGUGAAGUAGACCGCCUGGGGAGUACGGUCGCAAGAUUAAAACUCAAAGGAAUUGACGGGGGCCCGCACAA
rnacentral:rRNA from 1 species